GCAUUAAUGGGGUAGUGGUAACCUGGGUCGUUGCCAUACGAGGUUCGAGAACUUUCGACCCGCCGGGGGUUCGAUUCCCCCUUAAUGCA